CCUAGGUGCUAUCAGAUUCGCAAUAGACAUGCAAGUUUUAUGUCUCUUCGGAGGCAUGGCGAAAGGCUCAGUAACACGUCGCCAAUCUGCCCUAUGGACGGGGAUAACCUCGGGAAACUGAGAUUAAUACCCGAUAGGUAUGGAAUUCUGGAAGGAGCCAAUACCGAAAUGGACUCCGGUCCGCCACAGGAUGAGGCCGCGGCCGAUUAGCUAGUAAGUGAUGUAAAGGAUCACUUAGGCGAUGAUCGGUAGGGGUAAUGAGAGUUAGCGCCCCGAGAAGGACACUUAGACACUGGUCCUAGCACUACGGUGUGCAGCAGUUAGGAAUUGUGCCCAAUGCGCGAAAGCGUGAGACCGCGAAUCUGAGUGCCAGGGAGAACCCUGGCUGUGAUGGAGUGUUCGUAGCUCCAACAGCAAGCAGAGGGCAAGGCUGGUGCCAGCCGCCGCGGUAAAACCAGCUCUGCGAGUGCCUAGGACGAUUAUUGGGCUUAAAGCAUCCGUAGCCGGGUAAGUAGGUCUCUGGUUAAAUCUGCAAGCCCAACUUGUAGGCUGUCAGAGAUACCGCUAACCUAGGGAAUAGGAGAGGUGAACGGUACUGCGGGAGAAGCGGUGAAAUGCGUUGAUUCCCGCAGGACCCACAGUGGCGAAGGCGGUUCACUGGAAUAUCUCCGACGGUGAUGGAUGAAAGCCAGGGGAGCGAAAGGGAUUAGAGACCCCUGUAGUCCUGGCCGUAAACGAUGAGGACUAGGUGUUGGCCAUGGCUAAGGGCCUGGUCAGUGCCAAAGGGAAACUAUUAAGUCCUCCGCCUGGGGAGUACGGUCGCAAGGCUGAAAC
rnacentral:rRNA from 1 species